UAUCUGUAGUGGUGGCGAGCAAAGGCUGGAUAAACACUCGUCGCAAUGGGGGAGGGGUGGAAGUUUCGAGUUGUGAAAGACUGGUUGGUGGAUUUGUAGUCAAGGAAAAGAGUUACUUACACUGCCUGCUUUGGAAAUAGAGUGACCAGGCUAAGGGUAUUUGAAUCAGUGGGUAAUCCUGGACACGCAUGGCUACUUACCCUUUUCAAAACGACGACGUAAGCUGCGCAUGGUUGAAGUCAACGUGGAAAGCGAAGUUCGUUAUGGUGUGUUAGGAAGUGUGGUUUUGAAGAGGUCUAUCCUAAUCUUUUUGGGAGUCUCAACUCAUAUCUUAAACCGGGAUCUCAUCAAUCACCCCCUCCCCUAACUGAACCGAAUUCACCUGCGUGCUUUAAAAACCAUCCCAUCACUCCAGCUCGAAACCAAACUUAGCCAGUUGCUGGUUUGAAUCGUCCCUCGGGACGGCAUGUGUGUCGACGAGACGGGGGGGUUGGAAUGAGGAUUGGUGUCGUAGUCGUCAUUGUAAUCACUUGUCUGUUUCUGCAUCGUUCACUGCUUCCUGUCCACGCCUUGUUCACUGCAUCAUUCCAGAGAUUUUGGAUAACUUUGUUUCCCUUGGUAGGUCGCUGGUGAGAGUCUGCCUGUAAGGUAGGAAAAGUCGCAAUCUUUGCCAAAAUCAAAUUGCUUCUGUAUAGAAGUAGUCUGGUGUAGUCAACUAGUUUUUUCCUGCAUAGAGCCGCCUGGGGCUUUAAUUGCUGCUUGUUACGAAUCCUAGUCUUUCAAGAAGAAAGGGAAACAAGUGGAGGUGUUUGUUUUUUUCGAUUACCUUAAGCUUUUGUGGUUUUUUCGUUGGUGGAGUGUGGUUAUUACUAGCCGCAGCUUCGAAAAGCAAUUUGAUUGCGCAAGAAUAAAGAUGACGAGAGGAAACCAGCGGGAGAGGGACCGGGAGAGAGCUGCAGCGAGAGCCAAGCAGACUAAACAGCGAGACGACGGAUUGACACCUGAUCAGCGUCGCGAGCGCGACGCUAAAGCCCUGCAGGAAAAAACGGCAAGGAAGAUGGGAGAGCAAGGAGGGACGAGUUCUGGUCAAUCAUCAUCUUCAUCGUCGUCGUCACAAACCACUAAGAAAUGAUCAUCAACUUGAAAGAGUCAGCAAGGAAUGUCAACAACACACUUCGCUUGCGUUGCUUCUAAUUUUUCCCCGUGCGAUGCAUGUCAAGUAGAGUUAGUAUCCCCAUGCUUGCAGGUUUGACGACUUCGCGUAGUUUAGAUCCGGUAGAAUAUGAUCGAUUGACUUCUAGUGCCUGGUUAUUUCUCGGAGGAAAGGAUGACAGUUCUGCACUAAUUUUAAAAGUGUACAACCUUUUUAGUAACUUUUGCCUGCAUCGCAUUAGGGGUGUGAUACCCUUCCGCUGUGAUCGUUGUGUUCUGUGACUUUCUGCAAUAAAUGCUUUCACCGUCUCUCCACAGGGUGCCUUUAAAGCCUGCCGUGAUUCAUAGCAUAGGUUUUCUCUAUGUCAUGACAAUUAUCUCAUGAAUAACGCACUUCGUGGACAAUCUUCGAACCCGUUUCUCGUGCGCU
rnacentral:lncRNA from 1 species